rnacentral:rRNA from 1 species
UACGUACGGCGCAAGCGUUGUCCGGAAUUAUUGGGCGUAAAGAGCUCGUAGGCGGCUUGUCACGUCGAUUGUGAAAGCCCGAGGCUUAACCUCGGGUCUGCAGUCGAUACGGGCUAGCUAGAGUGUGGUAGGGGAGAUCGGAAUUCCUGGUGUAGUGGUGAAAUGCGUAGAGAUCAGGAGGAACACCGGUGGCGAAGGCGGCCUACUGGGCCAGCACUGACGCUGAGGCGCGAAAGCUCGGGGAGCGAACGGG